rnacentral:rRNA from 1 species
AAAGGAUGUGGCGUUGCCCAGACAACUAGGAUGUUGGCUUAGAAGCAGCCAUCAUUUAAAGAGUGCGUAAUAGCUCACUAGUCGAGUGACACUGCGCCGAAAAUGUACCGGGGCUAAACAUAUUACCGAAGCUGUGGAUUGUCCUUUGGACAAUGGUAGGAGAGCGUUCUAAGGGCGUUGAAGCAUGAUCGUAAGGACAUGUGGAGCGCUUAGAAGUGAGAAUGCCGGUGUGAGUAGCGAAAGACGGGUGAGAAUCCCGUCCACCGAUUGACUAAGGUUUCCAGAGGAAGGCUCGUCCGCUCUGGGUUAGUCGGGUCCUAAGCUGAGGCCGACAGGCGUAGGCGAUGGAUAACAGGUUGAUAUUCCUGUACCACCUAUAAUCGUUUUAAUCGAUGGGGGGACGCAGUAGGAUAGGCGAAGCGUGCGAUUGGAUUGCACGUCUAAGCAGUAAGGCUGAGUAUUAGGCAAAUCCGGUACUCGUUAAGGCUGAGCUGUGAUGGGGAGAAGACAUUGAGUCUUCGAGUCGUUGAUUUCACACUGCCGAGAAAAGCCUCUAGAUAGAAAAUAGGUGCCCGUACCGCAAACCGACACAGGUAGUCAAGAUGAGAAUUCUAAGGUGAGCGAGCGAACUCUCGUUAAGGAACUCGGCAAAAUGACCCCGUAACUUCGGGAGAAGGGGUGCUCUUUAGGGUUAACGCCCAGAAGAGCCGCAGUGAAUAGGCCCAAGCGACUGUUUAUCAAAAACACAGGUCUCUGCUAAACCGUAAGGUGAUGUAUAGGGGCUGACGCCUGCCCGGUGCUGGAAGGUUAAGAGGAGUGGUUAGCUUCUGCGAAGCUACGAAUCGAAGCCCCAGUAAACGGCGGCCGUAACUAUAACGGUCCUAAGGUAGCGAAAUUCCUUGUCGGGUAAGUUCCGACCCGCACGAAAGGCGUAACGAUUUGGGCACUGUCUCAACGAGAGACUCGGUGAAAUCAUAGUACCUGUGAAGAUGCAGGUUACCCGCGACAGGACGGAAAGACCCCGUGGAGCUUUACUGUAGCCUGAUAUUGAAAUUCGGCACAGCUUGUACAGGAUAGGUAGGAGCCUUUGAAACGUGAGCGCUAGCUUACGUGGAGGCGCUGGUGGGAUACUACCCUAGCUGUGUUGGCUUUCUAACCCGCACCACUUAUCGUGGUGGGAGACAGUGUCAAGCGGGCAGUUUGACUGGGGCGGUCGCCUCCUAAAAGGUAACGGAGGCGCUCAAAGGUUCCCUCAGAAUGGUUGGAAAUCAUUCAUAGAGUGUAAAGGCAUAAGGGAGCUUGACUGCGAGACCUACAAGUCGAGCAGGGUCGAAAGACGGACUUAGUGAUCCGGUGGUUCCGCAUGGAAGGGCCAUCGCUCAACGGAUAAAAGCUACCCCGGGGAUAACAGGCUUAUCUCCCCCAAGAGUUCACAUCGACGGGGAGGUUUGGCACCUCGAUGUCGGCUCAUCGCAUCCUGGGGCUGUAGUCGGUCCCAAGGGUUGGGCUGUUCGCCCAUUAAAGCGGUACGCGAGCUGGGUUCAGAACGUCGUGAGACAGUUCGGUCCCUAUCCGUCGUGGGCGUAGGAAAUUUGAGAGGAGCUGUCCUUAGUACGAGAGGACCGGGAUGGACAUACCUCUGGUGUACCAGUUGUCGUGCCAACGGCAUAGCUGGGUAGCUAUGUGUGGACGGGAUAAGUGCUGAAAGCAUCUAAGCAUGAAGCCCCCCUCAAGAUGAGAUUUCCCAACUUCGGUUAUAAGAUCCCUCAAAGAUGAUGAGGUUAAUAGGUUCGAGGUGGAAGCAUGGUGACAUGUGGAGCUGACGAAUACUAAUCGAUCGAAGACUUAAUCAA